rnacentral:rRNA from 1 species
ACCCGCUGAACUUAAGCAUAUCAAUAAGCGGAGGAAAAGAAACCAACAGGGAUUGCCCUAGUAACGGCGAGUGAAGCGGCAACAGCUCAAAUUUGAAAUCUGGCUCUUUUAGAGUCCGAGUUGUAAUUUGCAGAGGGCGCUUUGGCUUUGGCAGCGGUCCAAGUUCCUUGGAACAGGACGUCACAGAGGGUGAGAAUCCCGUACGUGGUCGCUGGCUAUUGCCGUGUAAAGCCCCUUCGACGAGUCGAGUUGUUUGGGAAUGCAGCUCUAAAUGGGAGGUACAUUUCUUCUAAAGCUAAAUAUUGGCCAGAGACCGGUAGCGCACAAGUAGAGUGAUCGAAAGAUGAAAAGCACUUUGGAAAGAGAGUCAAACAGCACGUGAAAUUGUUGAAAGGGAAGCGCUUGCAGCCAGACUUGCUUACAGUUGCUCAUCCGGGCUUUUGCCCGGUGCACUCUUCUGUAGGCAGGCCAGCAUCAGUUUGGGCGGUAGGAUAAAGGUCUCUGUCACGUACCUCUCUUCGGGGAGGCCUUAUAGGGGAGACGACAUACUACCAGCCUGGACUGAGGUCCGCGCAUCUGCUAGGAUGCUGGCGUAAUGGCUGU